rfam:Myotis brandtii contig234631, whole genome shotgun sequence.
GCCGGUGUGGCCCAGUGGAUAGAGCAUCGGCCUGCGGACCGAAGGGUCCCAGGUUCGAUUCCGGUCAAGGGCA